rnacentral:lncRNA from 1 species
ACCGUGACUCGGUGCAGCCCAACCGUGGCCCUGGUGGAGUUUUCUUCCAGCCCGCAGCUGAGGAAUGAAGUACCAGAAGAACAAGACCAGAAGAAGCCAGAAAACGAGAUGAGCGGGAAGGUGGAGUUAGUACUGUCCCAGAAGGUGGCAAAGCCAAAAUCCCCAGAACCGGAAGCAACCUUGACAUUUCCAUUUCUUGACAAAAUGCCUGAAACCGACCAACUACAUUUGCCAAAUCUCAAUUCUCAAGCGGAUUCCCCAAGCAGUGAGAAGUCCCCCGCAAGCACGCCUUUUAAGUUCUGGGCGUGGGACCCGGAAGAGGAGCGUAGGCGACAGGAGAAGUGGCAGCAGGAGCAAGAGCGCCUGCUCCAGGAGAGGUAUCAGAAGGAGCAGGAUAAGCUGAAGGAGGAAUGGGAAAAGGCCCAGAAGGAGGUAGAAGAAGAGGAACGCAGAUACUAUGAGGAGGAGCGUAAGAUAAUUGAGGACACCGUGGUUCCAUUCACUAUUUCCUCGAGUUCUGCCGACCAGCUGUCUACAUCCUCAUCUGUAACUGAAGGCAGCGGGACAAGGAAUAAGAUGGACUUGGAAAACUGCCAAGACAGAGACAAAGAGAGAAGACAGAACACUCCCCUCCAGGAGAAUGACAGUGACUCAUCACUCAAAGCUAGAGAAAGUGGCCUGCCCGAGGAGCACAGCAGCCUAACUCAAAGUCCCUCAGCUAACUCUGAAAACUCCGUGUCAAAAGGAAUUAGUCAGGACCAGCAGCCAGAGACAGAGGCUGAGGCCUCACACUGUGGUACAAACCC